AGAACGAACGCUGGCGGCAUGCCUAAUACAUGCAAGUCGAACGAACUCUUCGGAGUUAGUGGCGCACGGGUGCGUAACGCGUGGGAAUCUGCCCCUUGGUUCGGAAUAACAGUUGGAAACGACUGCUAAUACCGGAUGAUGACGAAAGUCCAAAGAUUUAUCGCCAAGGGAUGAGCCCGCGUAGGAUUAGCUAGGUUGGUGAGGUAAGCUCACCAAGGCAACGAUCC
rnacentral:rRNA from 1 species